rnacentral:lncRNA from 1 species
GAGGAGGAGGAGGAGGAGGAGGAGGAGGGGGAAGUUUAUGGCCGAAAGGGCGGGGGGAGGCUGCCGGCAGGGCGCUGGGAUUGAUGUGUCUGGGUCGGGGGAGGGAGCGGCCGCACGAAAGUCGGUCGGCCCCGGUGUCAGCUCGGGACAGGCCGCCUGGUGCGCCCCGGAGGGUCAACCUCACUUUGGCUGGCUUGUCUUCUUGAUUUCUUCAUUGGUGGUGCUAAAGAGAGUUGAUGAGACAGGAAGAAAGCAGCAGGGAUUGCUGAGUCUGAACAUCACUUCUGCUAAGCUUGGAGCAGCACUGAAGCUAUUUUAAACAAGAAAGGCAGUAAUCAAGCAAAGCAAAAGCUGGGCAGAAUUAGGCCAUGCAGUCUGAGACAGUGGUUCCAAAUGCAGCAGUUGGUGUGAGCAGAAGAAAUAAGUAAGAUAACAAGCUGUGAGCAUGGUUUACAAGUAUGCAGAGAGACAAGACCCUUUGGGCCUUAUGACUCACUGGACGGGGAGGCUUGGGCAUGCUGAACAACGAAAGUGGCUGUUAGGGUGUGAUUUUUACUUUGUGUAUUUAUGUACUUUGCAAAUGAUGUUGCACAAAAUAUGACCACAGUAAACACCUGUUCAC